CUUUAAUGAAAAAUGCCUCGCAUCCAUUAAGUUUCUGUUGGAUGAGAAGCACGCGGCAGCGGAGUCUUUGAAACUUGAAAAGGAGAGGACGCGAUCCCAGGCUAAUGAACUGGCUUCUCUUAGGCAUGUAACUCGAAGUUCAAUUCUAGCAGGUCAUCUUUUGCUGUAGUAUAUAAAAUAGGCUCUUAUACGUAUUUACAUCGAUUGCAGAUCUGCCUAAAAUGAAAAAUUCACCAAGUUCCAGAAGCUUAUAAGGGAAGAGAAGGAGAAGCAGAGAACUUAAAACUCCUUCUGGAAAUUGAAAAGGAAAAGGCAGAGAAGUUGAUUCUAUUCUUGGAAAUUGAAAAGGAGAGAACACAAGCUGAUGAACUGGCUUCUAUUAGGCAUGCAGCUCUAUAAGUUCAGUCUCAGUUGGUCAACUUCUAUUCUAGCAUACACAUCAGGCUCUUAAAAUAUCUUUUCUCCGUUUGCAGAUCCACCUUUGAAGCAACUUGCAUUCAGUACCAGAACCUUCUGAUGGAUUAAAGGCAGAAGGUUGAGGAAUUAAUGCGACUAUUGAAAAUCGAAAAGGAAAUAAUGCUAUCACAAGCUAAUGAAUUGGCUUCAAGCUGUGCUGCUGUAAUUGCAGGUCUUCCCAAGAUGAAGAGUACACUGAAUUUAAGAGACUUUUGAGGGAAUAAGACAGGAAAAGACACUAUUGAAGGAUGUUACUAACAGAUAACUGUGUACGCUUGAUGGUGGUCAAGUCCCAGGAGACAUUCAAAAGAACAAGAAAGAAGAUAAAGAUGUAACCGUGGCAGAUGUGAUUAGGAGGCAUGUCAUGAGCUAUAUUCCAAGAGACUAAGAAGUUUGGUUUGAUUGAACUCUUAAGAUUUUACUUUGCGUAUCUGAUA